AACGGAGCUCAAAUUUGAAAUCUGGUAGCCUUCGGUUGCCCGAGUUGUAAUCUAGAGAAGUGUUUUCCGCGUUGGCCCAUGUACAAGUCCCUUGGAACAGGGCGUCAUAGAGGGUGAGAAUCCCGUCCUUGACAUGGACCCCCAAUGCUUUGUGAUACACUUUCAACGAGUCGAGUUGUUUGGGAAUGCAGCUCAAAAUGGGUGGUGAAUUCCAUCUAAAGCUAAAUAUUGGCGAGAGACCGAUAGCGAACAAGUACCGUGAGGGAAAGAUGAAAAGCACUUUGGAAAGAGAGUUAAACAGUACGUGAAAUUGUUGAAAGGGAAACGAUUGAAGUCAGUCAUGCUCUUUGGAUUAAGCCGUUCUGCGGUGUAUUUCAUUGAGCGGGGUCAACAUCAGUUUUGAUCGCUGGAAAAGGGCAGGAGGAAGGUAGCACUCUCGGGUGAACUUAUAGCCUCUUGUCGUAUACAGUGAUUGGGACUGAGGAACGCAGCAUGCCUUUUGGCCGGGAUUCGUCCACGUACAUGCUUAGGAUGUUGACAUAAUGGCUUUAAACGACCCGUCUUAA
rnacentral:rRNA from 1 species